UGGGGAAUAUUGCGCAAUGGACGAAAGUCUGACGCAGCGACGCCGCGUGAGGGAUGAAGGCCUUCGGGUUGUAAACCUCUGUCAGGAGGGAAGAACCGCCAUGGUAGUAACUGCCCAUGGUCUGACGGUACCUCCAAAGGAAGCACCGGCUAACUCCGUGCCAGCAGCCGCGGUAAUACGGCGGGUGCAAGCGUUAAUCGGAAUCACUGGGCGUAAAGCGCGCGUAGGCGGCUUUGUAAGUCCGAGGGGAAAGCCCACGGCUCAACCGUGGAACUGCCUUUGAGACUGCAAGGCUACGAGUUUGUGAGAGGAUAGUGGAAUUCCUGGUGUAGGAGUGAAAGCCGUAGAGAUCAGGAGGAACAUCAGUGGCGAAGGCGACUGUCUGGCACAACACUGACGCUGAGGUGCGAAAGCGUGGGUAUCAAACA
rnacentral:rRNA from 1 species